CUGUUAUUGGUUCAGGGACCUCACUGACAAAUCAUGACAAAUACCUUUGUAUUCUUUGUGUCACAAACGUCAUCAGGGUGGAAAUGGCCGGACCAAGGUGCAGCGUGUCCAUCACCAUGAGUAAAGAGCACAAUUAUGUGCUUGUUGACCUGUGGAAAGAGUUCCUCCAAGAGCUCAACAGAUCUCUCAUCAUCAUCACUCCAUGUCCCCAACUUCAUCACCAACAGGAAGACAUGAGGACCAGGGGAUGAGACUUCAAGACACUUCAGUAUUUCUCUGUGGAUAUACCCUGGUUUCCUAUUACCAUCUGUGUCUAACACUCCUGGGGUGUCCACCACAUUUAACCAUCUGUUUUUUUUAACCCUUUCUACCCUACAUGUAUCAGUCACUGAGGUAGACUGGGGUAAUGAUGUAAACACUUGUUUGCCCAGAAUGGUGUUUCCACUUGAACUUUUACCAGAUCCAGUUUUUCCAAUUAACACAAUUCUCAGGUCACGACCUGCAAACAUAAUACAUUGUUAAUGAUCAAUUCACUCAAAACCAGUAAAGAAAUGUACACUAUCUGAACUGCAAAGUUACAAUCAAUUCUCACCUGCAGGCACUUUAGACGAGAAGGAACCCAUUGUCUUGAUGAAGUUGAAAAUGAAUGAAGAGAAAGAGCUUUUUCCUAUGUUAUAUCCCCCAAGCUCUCUUAGAACCGCCCACCCAGCCUGCUUCUCUCUACAAUACAGUAUAUAUAAAGUAAGCUGCUAAACCGUUUCAGAUUUUUACAGACCAGGUGUUGAAAACCUCCCUGUGGACUUUUUUAAGCCACGUCUAUAAUUGUUUGAAAAGUGGAAGUCUAUUGAAAAAGGCAUUUUGUAUCUCUGACAAGCAGUUUCUGGCAAAACAAGAAGAGGAACAUGUCACAAAGUGAAAAUCAUCCCGGUCAAGAGAACCAUGAAAGCAACAUAUUGAACAUCGUGUUACUGGGACAGGCAGGUAGUGGAAAGAGUGCUAGUGGAAACACAAUCCUGGGCACAACCUGUUUUCAAUCAGAAAUAAACUCUCAACCUGUUACUAUUAAGUGUCAGGUAGAACAGAGACAGAGGUCAGGAAAAGAGUUUAGGGUCAUUGAUACCCCAGACUUCUUCCAUAAAAGUGUUAAAAAUUCAGACACACAUGUUGAAGAUUGUAAAAUGCACUGUCGUACUGGGUCUUGUGUGUACUUACUGGUAAUUCAGAUUGGCCGAUUCUCAGAGGGCAAGAGAGAGAUAUUAAAACAAUUGGAAGACGCCUUGGGUGAAAUCAAAAAUCAAACGAUUGUACUCUACUCAUGGAGAGAACCUGGAAGUUGUCACCUUUGAUCAGUUCAUCAAAGAAGCUGACCCUCAUCUGAAAGAAAUACUACGUCUCUGUGGGGACAGAUGCCAUCUGUUCAGAAACACUAGCACAGACCGCCAUCAGGUAAAGGAGCUGAGGAGGACGAUUUCCAGUUUGGUGGGCUAUCAAACGAUUCCAGAUUUACAGGGUUGGGGAAUUAUGAAUGUAAUUUCAAUUGUGGGGCAUAGAAUGUACUCUUUAUUUGAAUGGAUAAGAAAUGUAUUCAGUAUAUAUCUCCAUAGAUUGUUAAACCUAUUUUGUUAAUUUAUAUAAAUUAUAACUAUGAUGGUUUCAGUUAUGAAUAACUGUGCAUUUGUUCUAGGUUCUGUUUAACUGUUUAUAGCCACUGACAGAUAUUGAGAAUAGUGUAAGCUUAGUAUACUUUUUUUUACCCAAAAUGUUUAUAUUUUGAGACUUGUUUUACUGUUAUUGUUUAAAAAAUGAAAACAAGUUGUAUUCUGUUUUUAGUGUAAGAUAACAGCAUCACUGUGCUCUGAGAUUGCGAAGUUUAUUUGUGUAAUCAAUAAACCAAUGUUUAUGAUGUAAACAAGGAGAUACUCACCAUUGAUUUACUCUCUGCUGUUAAGUUACACAGGAAUUAGCUCAAUGUGUUACAGGAGGAAAUUAAAUGUUGAAAGGAAUUGUAAAUAUGAAGUGCAAUGGGAAACCUGAGGAAUCACUGACACUUCACCAUAUUAAAAUACGUUAUGGUAAUGUG